rnacentral:lncRNA from 1 species
ACGGAAUCUAAAUGGGUCAUCCAGUGGCUACCCAAAUCCAAACAGAAAGCAAAGAGGGCAAUAUUAACGGCAUCUUCCUUGGAUGGUCUCAGGAGCACGAACUAUUCCUCUCCAAAGAGCUGCAGGCUUUCGACAGCCUUAUUAGGUAAUAUUCUUAUACCUGUUUACUGGAGGAAACUGACGCACAGUGGUAGUAACAAGCCCAAGGUCACAGAACUCUGGUGGGAGGGGGUUACAAAGACAAGACCUGUGGAUCCAGAGCUUGGUGCCAGAGGCUUUGCUUAUAUCCAGUCAUUCAAUUCCUACUGCAGUCUUCGGAGGUCAGCAUCAGAUGUCAGACUCUGUGAAGCUGACAUGUCUUGCCCAAGGUGGCAGAGGCAAACAGGGCUGGGGUUUGCUCAUUCCAAAGCCCACAGUAUUUUCACUUCAGGUCACCUUACCUCUCUGUGCUUGUACUUCCUGAUCUGUUAAAUGGGAUAAUAACAGUACACGCCCCUGGGUUUGUUGUGGGAAUGACACACCUGGCCAUAGUGAGCUCUGUAAGUGGACGAUAUUGUUGUUAUUUUAUCACGAGGCCUCCUCCCUCAGAUCAGGAGCUGGCCACUCCCUGUUGCAGGAGAACCAGAUCCCGUGGGAGCCCCUUCCCGGCCCAGGUGCUCCUGAGGCCCAGCACAGGUGCUG